GGAUUAAAGUGGUGUAAUGGUUUGAAUGUUGGACAAGGGCUCUGGAGAUCAGGGUUCAAAUCCCUGCUUGGCCA